rnacentral:rRNA from 1 species
CCUACGGGAGGCAGCAGUGGGGAAUAUUUGGCAAUGGGCGCAAGCCUGACCCAGCAACGCCGCGUGAAGGAAGAAGGCUUUCGGGUUGUAAACUUCUUUUGUCAGGGACGAAGCAAGUGACGGUACAUGACGAAUAAGCCACGGCUAACUACGUGCCAGCAGCCGCGGUAAUACGUAGGUGGCAAGCGUUAUCCGUAUUUACUGGGGGUAAAGGGCGUGUAGGCGGGACUGCAAGUCAGAUGUGAAAACCACGGGCUCAACCUGUGGCCUGCAUGUGAAACUGUAGUUCUUGAGUACUGUAGAGGCAGACGGAAUUCCUAGUGUAGCGGUGAACUGCGUAGAUAUUAGGAGGAACACCAGUGGCGAAGGCGGUCUGCUGGACAGCAACUGACGCUGAGGCGCGAAAGCGUGGGGAGCAAACAGGAUUAGAUACCCUGGUAGUC